rnacentral:rRNA from 1 species
UUCUACAGCCAUGCCACCCUGAAUGUGCCUGAUCUCGUCUGAUUGCGGAAGCUAAGCAGGGUCAGGCCUGGUUAGUAUUUGGAUGGGAGACCACCUAGGAAGACCAGAUGCUGUAGGCA